AAGAAAAGCUGUAUCGAUUGUUGAGAUCUGGCGACUUGUUUAAAUUUCAUCAGCCUCACUUCUAUGAACUCUCAGAGCUGAUUACCAACUCCUACCACUGUUAACCCUCAUCCAGGAAAAAGCUUAUGUCUUUAACAUUCUGAGUGGGCUUCAGCAUCCUUGCAUAUGUUCAAUUCUUAAAAACCUGUUGAAAUAAAAGAUCAGGAGACAUAGGAAGGAUGCCAGAAGAGAGCGUGGCCUCAUGUGUACCAGCUCUCUGCUCUCCUUUGCCUUGGGACGUUCCAUCCCUGGAAGUUUCCCUGCCCACAUCUUUGUAGAGAGUCCAUUCUCCAAGCUUCAGUGUGUCAUCUGUGAGGACUGUGACCAACCUGGUACAUCGCCUCAGGGCAUUCAUUUCAGGCUCCUUCUAAAUGGUCAAGAUCUUGCUUUCUUUUGUAUGUUUGCAAAGAAUAUAUAGUACACUUCCUUGAUCUGUGGUUCCUAAAAUGUGAUUCCCAACAAGCAGCAUCAGGAUCACCUGGAAACUUGAUAGAAAUGUAAAUUCUACAGUCCCUCCUUGGAGCUACAGAUUCAGAAAUUCUGAAGUUUAAGUCCAGCAGUUGGUUAUAAUAAGCUCUCUAGGUGAUUCCAACUCGCACCAAGGCACCCUUGGAAAUGCAAUGCUACAUCUCAAUGGGAUUUUCCAGUACAAAGAUUCUUUUCAAAUAACAUAAUUGUGGAUACACACCACUCCUACAGUGGUAAACCUCAGGUUCUCCUCCUGCCUUUUGCUAAGUAUAUGUCUUGAUGACAAGCCUUCUGCUGAUGAGCUGUGUUUCUGGACCGAUCAUGGUAGAAGUCAAUUAACGUGUCCCUCACUUGGGGUUUCUCAAGG
rnacentral:lncRNA from 1 species